rnacentral:rRNA from 1 species
UAGCGAAGGGGGCUAGCGUUGCUCGGAAUCACUGGGCGUAAAGCGCACGUAGGCGGCUUUUUAAGUCAGGGGUGAAAUCCUGGAGCUCAACUCCAGAACUGCCUUUGAUACUGAGAAGCUUGAGUCCGGGAGAGGUGAGUGGAACUGCGAGUGUAGAAGGUGAAAUUCGUAGAUAUUCGCAAGAACACCAGUGGCGAAGGCGGCUCACUGGCCCGGUACUGACGCUGAGGUGCGAAAGCGUGGG